rnacentral:rRNA from 1 species
AUUGAACGCUGGCGGCAGGCCUAACACAUGCAAGUCGAAUGGUAACAGGAAACAGCUUGCUGUUUCUCUGACGAGUGGCGGACGGGUGAGUAAUGUCUGGGAAACUGCCUGAUGGAGGGGGAUAACUACUGGAAACGGUAGCUAAUACCGCAUAACGUCGCAAGACCAAAGAGGGGGACCUUCGGGCCUCUUGCCAUCAGAUGUGCCCAGAUGGGAUUAGCUAGUAGGUGGGGUAACGGCUCACCUAGGCGACGAUCCCUAGCUGGUCUGAGAGGAUGACCAGCCACACUGGAACUGAGACACGGUCCAGACUCCUACGGGAGGCAGCAGUGGGGAAUAUUGCACAAUGGGCGCAAGCCUGAUGCAGCCAUGCCGCGUGUAUGAAGAAGGCCUUCGGGUUGUAAAGUACUUUCAGCGGGGAGGAAGGGAGUAAAGUUAAUACCUUUGCUAAUUGACGUUACCCGCAGAAGAAGCACCGGCUAACUCCGUG